AACCUAUGUUGAGGACAUUUUUGAAGGAGUUCCUUGUACCUUUACCAUGCCUCAAAUAGGGUCUACAAUUCCAUUUGCACGAAGGAAGAAAUCUCAUUCCUAAUCUU